ACAGCAGCCGCGGUAAGACAGAGGGUGCAAGCGUUGUUCGGAAUUAUUGGGCGUAAAGGGCGCGUAGGCGGCGCCGUAAGUCACGUGUGAAAGCCCAGGGCUUAACCCUGGAAGUGCGCGUGAUACUGCGGUGCUUGAGUCCCGGAGAGGGUGGUGGAAUUCCCAGUGUAGAGGUGGAAUUCGUAGAUAUUGGGAGGAAUACCGGUGGCGAAGGCGACCACCUGGACGGUGACUGACGCUGAGGCGCGAAAGCGUGGGGAGCAAACAGGAUUAGAUACCCUGGUAGUCCACGCCGUAAACGAUGGGUACUAGGUGUUGUGGGUAUUGACCCCCGCAGUGCCGACGCUAACGCAUUAAGUACCCCGCCUGGGAAGUACGGCCGCAAGGCUAAAACUUAAAGGAAUUGACGGGGGCCCGCACAAGG
rnacentral:rRNA from 1 species